rnacentral:rRNA from 1 species
GAGUUUGAUCCUGGCUCAGGCACGAACGCUGGCGGCGCGCCUAACACAUGCAAGUCGAACGACCGAGAGAGAGCUUGCUUUCUCAAGCGACUGGCGAACGGGUGAGUAUCGCGUGAGGAACCUGCCUCAAAGAGGGGGACAACAGUUGGAAACGACUGCUAAUACCGCAUAACCCCACGGCUCGGUCAUCUAGCAGAGGGAAAAGGAGCAAUCCGCUUUGAGAUGGGCUCGCGUCCGAUUACCUAGUUGGUGAGGUAACGGCCCACCACGGCGACAAUCGGUAGCCGGACUGAUAGGUUGAACGGGCACAUCGGGACUGAGACACGGCCCAGACUCCUACGGGAGGCAACGGUGGGGAAUAUAGCACAAUGGGGGAAACCCUGAUGCAACGACGCCGCGUGGAGGAAGAAAGUCUUCGGAUUGUAAACUCCUGUUGUUGAGGAAGAUAAUGACGGUACUCAACAAGGAAGUGACGGCUAGCUACGUGCCAACAACCACCGUAUAACGUAGGUCACAAGCGUUGUCCGGAAUUACUGGGUGUAAAGGGAUCGCAAGCGGUAAAGCAAGUUGGAAGUGAAAUCCAUGGGCUCAACCCAUGAACUGCUUUCAAAACUGUUUCUCUUGAGUAGUGCAGAGGUAUGCGGAAUUCCCGUUCGUACGGUGAAAUGCGUAUAUAUCGUGAGGAACACCAAUGGUCAAAGCUGACUACUGGGCACCAACUGACGCUGAGGCUCGAAAGUGUGGGUAGCAAACAGGAUUAGAUACCCUGGUAGUCCACACUGUAAACGAUGAUUACUAGGUGUUGGAGGAUUGACCCGUUCAGUGCCGCAGUUGACACAAUAAGUAAUCCAGGUGGGGAGUACGACCGCAAGGUUGUCACUCAAAGGAAUUGGCGGGGGCCCGCACAAGCAGUGGAGUAUGUGGUUUAAUUCGAAGCAACGCGAAGAACCUUACCAAGUCUUGACAUCGUGAGACGGUGGUGGAAUCAGUAUUUUCGUUCGGGACGCAGAGACAGGUGGUGCAUGGUUGUGGUCAGCUCGUGUGGUGAGAUGUUGGGUUAAGUCCCGCGACGAGCGCAACCCUUAUGGUCAGUUAGUAUGCAAGAGGACUCUGGCCAGAGUGCCGUUGACUAAAAGGAGGAAGGUGGGGAUGAAGUCAAAUCAUCAUGCCCCUUAUGAUUUGGGGUACACACGUAGUACCAUGGCGUUAUACAAAGAGAAGCAAGACCGCGAGGUGGAGCGGAACUCAGAAACCACGUCCCAGUUCGGAUUGCAGGUUGCAACUGGCUUGCAGGAAGUCGGUAUUGUUAGUAUUGGCAGAUCAGCAUGGUGCGGUGAAUACGUUCCCGGGCCUUGUACACACCGCCCGUC